AGCUUUGCGCAGUGGCAGUAACAUAGCUGAUGAGGUUCAUCCGAGGCGUGUUUAUUGCUAGUUGAAAACUAUACCCAAUACCCCGCCCUGUGGACGUAUAAACCGUUCGCUGUGGCAAUUUUUGAUGGGUUCCCCGGAAC
rnacentral:snRNA from 1 species